UACGUAGGGUGCUAGCGUUGUCCGGAAUCAUUGGGCGUAAAGCGCGUGUAGGCGGUCCGGUAAGUCCGCUGUGAAAGUCGGGGGCUCAACCCUCGAAUGCCGGUGGAUACUGUCGGGCUAGAGUGCGGAAGAGGCGAGUGGAAUUCCUGGUGUAGCGGUGAAAUGCGCAGAUAUCAGGAGGAACACCAAUUGCGAAGGCAGCUCGCCGGGACGUUACUGACGCUGAGACGCGAAAGCGUGGGGAGCAAACAGG
rnacentral:rRNA from 1 species